GAGAUAUUAGUAAAAACAUUACAUAACUUUGUCAAGGUUAAAUUAUAAGUGAAAACCCUAUAUAUCUCU
rnacentral:tRNA from 1 species